rnacentral:sRNA from 1 species
AGGUAGGAUACGCCAGCCUUCAAAAAAAAACUUCAUAAAACAAUUUAAGCAUAUCACAUGUUUGGUCAACAUUUAUAAAAUAUUAUAACUCAUAUGAACAUACAUAUAAUUGACUCUAAACUCAAUUAUUCGAAUACAUGCUUUGACAUAGGACUUUAUUGUAGGUGUGCACUCGUAAUAGUAUUUAUGCUCUGUAGAGUCAAACACAGGGGGUUAUCACCUUACAACUCACGAGGUUAAUUUUUGACACCUAAGAAGACCUAAAGUCCAGGGAAGAAACAUCCUUACAAGUUCACACAGCUGAACUUUUUUUGUCAAAUUGUGGAAAAUAUUGAGACUGCUUUGAAAGUAUGCACUUGAUGAUGACAAACAAGACUUUGGAGCUACCUAAUACAAUUAUUAGUAUUAUUUGAUGAUUUAUAACUUAGAGUACUGAAUAUAUUAUGUCUGAUCUUCAUUGUCGAUCUUAUUUAUAAUUAAUUAUUUUUUUGACA